GACUAACUAAAAUUUCACGACCAUCAUAAAUCAACAAACCCUAGACUUCUAUCAUCCGCCGAAUUUCUCACGAUGUGUUGAAUCUUGUAUUCACAAUCGAAGAAAUGCCCUCAUCGGCCCUAUUGGUGUUCAUGUUGCAAGUAUAGUUACCUUGGAGGUCUUAAAGGUUGGAUUUUCAAUUGAAGACCAUAACGGCAUUUUGUCCAUUUUAAGAUUUCAUUUGAUGAGUUUAAUGAGUAUGUACUUACCAUAAACUAUUUUUGAUAUCUACAAAACCCAAAAAUCUUGGUUUCUUGAUUCUCAUCCAACAAGAUGUUGGAGCUCUUUAUGUCACGAUGUAUGACUUUUUUUCAACGAUUACAAAGGAUUAUGAAGGUAGUAUAGCCCACAAGCAACACCAUUGCAUAUCUUGAGACAUCGGCUCUACAUGAGACUUGUGCAUCCAAAAAUAUGUGUUGUGCUAGUGUCACGUGAGAGUGAGUCUGAUGCUUCCAGAUAGACAUUGGUGUUGUGUGUGGGUUAGCAUGCCGUCAUAAUCCUUUGUUAUCGCAACAAAAAGUCAUGCAUGGUGAUAUAAAUAGCUCUAACAUCAUGUUGGAUAAGAACUACGAUACUAUGAUUUCAAGUUUUUGUAUGUUAAGUAUAUCUAAGAAAUUUUCUAGUUGUAGAUUAGUUUUUGUUAUUUGUUUUGAACUAUUGUAAUUGUAAAAAGUAAAUUUAAAGAAAUGAACUUUGGGGAUGUUCAUCUUUGCUCGCAUUGAGUUAUAUUUAAUGUUAUAUACGUUUGAUA